UACGGAGGGUGCGAACGUUGCUCGGAAUCAUUGGGCGUAAAGCACAUGUAGGCGGCCGCGCAAGUUGGAUGUGAAAGCCCAGGGCUCAACCUUGGAAGUGCAUCCAAAACUGCGUAGCUUGAGUUCCGGAGGGGCCCAGAGAAUUCCUGGUGUAGAGGUGAAAUUCGUAGAUAUCAGGAGGAAUACCAGUGGCGAAGGCG
rnacentral:rRNA from 1 species